GUGGGGAAUUUUGGACAAUGGGCGCAAGCCUGAUCCAGCAAUGCCGCGUGCAGGAAGAAGGCCUUCGGGUUGUAAACUGCUUUUGUACGGAACGAAAAGGCUCUGGUUAAUACCUGGGGCUCAUGACGGUACCGUAAGAAUAAGCACCGGCUAACUACGUGCCAGCAGCCGCGGUAAUACGUAGGGUGCAAGCGUUAAUCGGAAUUACUGGGCGUAAAGCGUGCGCAGGCGGUUUUGUAAGACAGAGGUGAAAUCCCCGGGCUCAACCUGGGAAUUGCCUUUGUGACUGCAAGGCUGGAGUGCGGCAGAGGGGGAUGGAAUUCCGCGUGUAGCAGUGAAAUGCGUAGAUAUGCGGAGGAACACCGAUGGCGAAGGCAAUCCCCUGGGCCUGCACUGACGCUCAUGCACGAAAGCGUGGGGAGCAAACAGGAUUAGAUACCCUUGUAGUCC
rnacentral:rRNA from 1 species